AAGACGAUCAGGUUGAUAGGUUCGAGGUGGAAGUGCAGCAAUGCAUGCAGCUGACGAAUACUAAUCGGUCGAGGGCUUAUCCUA
rnacentral:rRNA from 1 species